rnacentral:rRNA from 1 species
GAUGAACGCUGGCGGCGUGCCUAACACAUGCAAGUCGAACGGAGUCGUUUUGGAAAUCUCUUCGGAGAUGGAAUUCUCGACUUAGUGGCGGACGGGUGAGUAACGCGUGAGCAAUCUGCCUUUAAGAGGGGGAUAACAGUCGGAAACGGCUGCUAAUACCGCGUAAAGCAUUAAAUUCGCAUGUUUUUGAUGCCAAAGGAGCAAUCCGCUUUUAGAUGAGCUCGCGUCUGAUUAGCUAGUUGGCGGGGUAACGGCCCACCAAGGCGACGAUCAGUAGCCGGACUGAGAGGUUGAACGGCCACAUUGGGACUGAGACACGGCCCAGACUCCUACGGGAGGCAGCAGUGGGGAAUAUUGCGCAAUGGGGGAAACCCUGACGCAGCAACGCCGCGUGAUUGAAGAAGGCCUUCGGGUUGUAAAGAUCUUUAAUCAGGGACGAAACAAAUGACGGUACCUGAAGAAUAAGCUCCGGCUAACUACGUG